AAGGUAAGUAGGGAAAGGAAACUGGACCGACCUUCGGGGAGCUUGGUACAGGUGCUGCAUGGCUGUCGUCAGCUCGUGUCGUGAGAUGUUCGGUUAAGUCCGCUAACGAGCGCAACCCUCGCUGUGUGUUACAAGUGUCACACGGAACUGCCGGUCAUAAGCCGGAGGAAGGUGGGGAUGAUGUCAAGUCAGCAUGGCCUUUAUAUCCUGGGCUACACACACGCUACAAUGGCCAACACAAUAGGUUGCUAAGCCGCGAGGUGGCGCCAAUCCAUAAAGUUGGUCUCAGUUCAGAUUGUAGGCUGCAACCCGCCUGCAUGAAGAUGGAGUUGCUAGUAACCGCAGGUCAGCUAUACUGCGGUGAAUACGUUCCCGGGGCUU
rnacentral:rRNA from 1 species